rnacentral:lncRNA from 1 species
GAAGCUGUUGCCUCUGCUCCCUAUUUUAAAAAGUAAAACUAAAGCACUUAGUUAAAUGAGAUGAAGAUACUGUCUUCCCGUCUGACCUGUAGUCCAUUAAUGUACCUCUUGAAUAUAUAACCCCACCCAGUUCAUUCUCUUGGGCAUGUUAAUUAUUAUUAAGGCUUUUAACAUUAUGCAAAAAUAACCUCUCCAACUGUUGAAAGAGAUAACUUUUAAACCUAAAGCAUGAUAAACGUUUGCCAGUUAAACACAUGUAGGGCAUAAAGGCUGAGGUUUGAGUCCCUGCAUCUUGCAGGAAAAAUAUAUUUUUAAAAAGUUGAGGGGCCUAUCAAUUUCUAGGUUAAAUUAUGUGAUAUUUUGUUACUUCCAUUUCUAAAGGGAUAGUUAUCUUAUCCCAAAGGUGCCUUUCAUUGUGUGUGUAUACAUAUGUGUGUGUGUAUAAGUUAGGUGAAGGAAGUUUACAUAUUCAUUUAUUCAUUAUAUGGAUUUGCAAAUCACUGAAAUGUUUACUAGCAUAUUUCUUGUCCAACAUUUUGUGUUGGAGGUUUGCUGUUUCCACAUUAUAGAAGGCUUAUUUUGGUAAUUGACUUAUACAUAUUAUAUAUUGUCACAUAUGAAG